rnacentral:sRNA from 1 species
UCAGUUCUGAUUCUUUCUCUGCAACUUUCUAAAGCUGAGAGUAAGUCCAGAGUCCUCAAAACUGAGCUCCAUUACACAGGAGAGGCUCUGAAAGAAAAGGCUUUGGUUUUUGAACACGUGCAAAGUGAGCUAAAGCAAAAACAGAGUCAAAUGAAGGACAUUGAAAAAAUGUACAAAAGUGGAUACAAUACAAUGGAAAAAUGCAUAGAAAAACAGGAAAGAUUUUGUCAACUAAAAAAACAAAAUAUGUUGCUUCAACAGCAACUGGAUGAUGCUCACAACAAAGCUGACAAUCAAGAAAAAGCAAUACUUAAUAUUCAAGCCAGAUGUGAUGCUAGAGUACAAAACCUUCAAGCUGAGUGCAGAAAGCACCGUCUUUUACUAGAAGAAGACAAUAUAAUGUUGGUCAAUGAACUGAAUCAUUCGAAAGAAAAAGAAUGCCAAUAUGAAAAAGAGAAAGCAGAAAGAGAAGUAGCUGUGAGACAGCUUCAACAAAAACGAGAUGAUGUCUUAAACAAAGAAUCAGCAACAAAAGCUUUGCUGGAUGCUUCAUCGCGUCACUGCACCUAUUUAGAAAAUGGGAUGCAGGAUUCAAGGAAGAAAUUAGACCAGAUGAGAAGUCAAUUUCAAGAAAUACAGGAUCAACUUACAGCUACUAUAAGAUGUACUAAGGAGAUGGAAGGCAACGCACAAAAGUAAAAUUUGAAGCAGCACACAAAAUAACUUGAGUAUUUAUAAAGCAAAAGAGCACUGUAGUAUGAAAAUUGUAUCAGUUAUGAUAAUUAGUAUGUCUUUGUGAAGCCAAAAAAGUUUCAUUUGUAAGCUAUAUUGAAAUACAUCAUUUUUCUACAUUAUUCCUAAAUUUUGCAUAUUAUCACCAAAACACAGGUAGAAAAAUGACACAGUAGCCCAAUCGUCUACUUUUGUGAUUGCUAAGAAUUUGUGUAAUUAUACCUUCAGAAGUUUGUUUAGAAUUUACAUGAUUUAAAAAAAAUUACGUGUGAGAGUAAUUAUUUUAAAAUGCACAUUUUAGGCUUGAAGUAGAACAUGUGAUGAUGAGAAAAAUUAUUAAAAAACAGGAUGACCAAAUUGAACGGCUUGAGAAAAUCCUGCAGCAUUCAAGUUUGAUGCUGCAGGUGUUUGAGAGCUAGAUGAAGGUAUG